UACGUCGGGUGCGAGCGUUGUCCUGACUUAUUGGGCGUAAAGAGCUCGUAGGCGGUUUGUCGCGUCUGCUGUGAAAACCUCAGGCUCAACCUGGGGCCUGCAGUGGGUACGGGCAGACUAGAGUGCGGUAGGGGUGACUGGAAUUCCUGGUGUAGCGGUGGAAUGCGCAGAUAUCAGGAGAAACACCGAUGGCGAAGGCAGGUCACUGGGCCGCAACUGACGCUGAGGAGCGAAAGCAUGGGGAGCGAACAGG
rnacentral:rRNA from 1 species